rnacentral:rRNA from 1 species
CUAGCUUGACUGCGAGCGUGACGGCGCGAGCAGGUGCGAAAGCAGGUCAUAGUGAUCCGGUGGUUCUGAAUGGAAGGGCCAUCGCUCAACGGAUAAAAGGUACUCCGGGGAUAACAGGCUGAUACCGCCCAAGAGUUCAUAUCGACGGCGGUGUUUGGCACCUCGAUGUCGGCUCAUCACAUCCUGGGGCUGAAGUAGGUCCCAAGGGUAUGGCUGUUCGCCAUUUAAAGUGGUACGCGAGCUGGGUUUAGAACGUCGUGAGACAGUUCGGUCCCUAUCUGCCGUGGGCGCUGGAGAAUUGAGGGGGGCUGCUCCUAGUACGAGAGGACCGGAGUGGACGCAUCACUGGUGUUCGGGUUGUCAUGCCAAUGGCACUGCCCGGUAGCUAAAUGCGGAAGAGAUAAGUGCUGAAAGCAUCUAAGCACGAAACUUGCCCCGAGAUGAGUUCUCCCUGAGACUUUAAGUCUCCUGAAGGAACGUUGAAGACGACGACGUUGAUAGGCCGGGUGUGUAAGCGCAGCGAUGCGUUGAGCUAACCGGUACUAAUGAACCGUGAGGCUUAACCUUACAACGCCGAAG